rnacentral:rRNA from 1 species
CCUACGGGAGACAGCAGUGGGGAAUAUUGCACAAUGGGCGAAAGCCUGAUGCAGCAACGCCGCGUGAACGAUGAAUGCCUUCGGGUCGUAAAGCUCUGUCCUCAAGGGAGAUAAUGACGGUACUUGAGGAGGAAGCCCCGUCUAACUACGUGCCAGCAAGCGCGGUAAUACGGAGGGAGCUAGCGUUAUACGGAAUUACUGGGCGUAAAGGGUUCGUAGGUGGUUUCUUAGGUCAGAGGUGAAAGGCUACGGCUGAACCGUAGUAAGCCGUUGAAACUGGGAAACUUGAGUGCAGGAGAGGAGAGUGGAAUUCCUAGUGGAGCGGUGAAAUGCGUAGAUAUUAGGAGGAACACCAGUUGCGAAGGCGGCUCUCUGGACUGUAACUGACACUGAGGCACGAAAGCGUGGGGAGCAAACAGGAUUAGAUACCCGAGUAGUC